CCUACGGGGGGCAGCAGUGAGGAAUAUUGGUCAAUGGGAGAGAUCCUGAACCAGCCAAGCCGCGUGAGGGAAGACGGCCCUAUGGGUUGUAAACCUCUUUUGUCGGAGAACAAAACCCGGGACGUGUCCCGGACUGCGUGUAUCCGAAGAAAAAGCAUCGGCUAACUCCGUGCCAGCAACCGCGGUCAGACGGAGGAUGCGAGCGUUAUCCGGAUUUAUUGGGUUUAAAGGGUGCGUAGGGGGAAGGUUAAGUCAGCGGUCAAAUGGCGGUGCUCAACACCGGCCUGCCGUUGAGACUGGUCGUCUUGAGAGGGGGAGAAGUAUGCGGAAUGCGUGGUGUAGCGGUGAAAUGCAUAGAUAUCACGCAGAACUCCGAUUGCGAAGGCAGCAUACCGGCGCUCCACUGACGCUGAGGCACGAAAGCGUGGGGAUCGAACAGGAUUAGAUACCCUUGUAGUC
rnacentral:rRNA from 1 species